GACGAACGCUGGCGGCGUGCCUAAUACAUGCAAGUCGAGCGGAAUGAUGAAGAAGCUUGCUUCUUCUGAUUUUAGCGGCGGACGGGUGAGUAACACGUGGGCAACCUACCUUGUAGAUUGGGAUAACUCCGGGAAACCGGGGCUAAUACCGAAUAAUCCAUUUUGCUUCAUGGCGAGAUGUUGAAAGACGGUUUCGGCUGUCACUACAAGAUGGGCCCGCGGCGCAUUAGCUAGUUGGUAGGGUAAUGGCCUACCAAGGCGACGAUGCGUAGCCAACCUGAGAGGGUGAUCGGCCACACUGGGACUGAGACACGGCCCAGACUCCUACGGGAGGCAGCAGUAGGGAAUCUUCCACAAUGGACGAAAGUCUGAUGGAGCAACGCCGCGUGAGUGAAGAAGGUUUUCGGAUCGUAAAACUCUGUUGUAAGGGAAGAACACGUACGAGAGUAACUGCUCGUACCUUGACGGUACCUUAUUAGAAAGCCACGGCUAACUACGUG
rnacentral:rRNA from 1 species